rnacentral:rRNA from 1 species
AGUGAACGCUGACGGUAGGCCUAACACAUGCAAGUCGAACGGCAGCACAGUAAGAGCUUGCUCUUACGGGUGGCGAGUGGCGGACGGGUGAGGAAUACAUCGGAAUCUACUUUUUCGUGGGGGAUAACGUAGGGAAACUUACGCUAAUACCGCAUACGACCUACGGGUGAAAGCAGGGGAUCUUCGGACCUUGCGCGAUUGAAUGAGCCGAUGUCGGAUUAGCUAGUUGGCGGGGUAAAGGCCCACCAAGGCGACGAUCCGUAGCUGGUCUGAGAGGAUGAUCAGCCACACUGGAACUGAGACACGGUCCAGACUCCUACGGGAGGCAGCAGUGGGGAAUAUUGGACAAUGGGCGCAAGCUUGAUCCAGCCAUACCGCGUGGGUGAAGAAGGCCUUCGGGUUGUAAAGCCCUUUUGUUGGGAAAGAAAAGCAGCAGGUUAAUACCCCGCUGUUCUGACGGUACCCAAAGAAUAAGCACCGGCUAACUUCGUG